AUGAGGGCGUCCUCCACACCCAUUGCUUGCACAUCAUCUAACUUGAACAAAUCUCGCAUGGCAGAGAUCACCUCCAGCGGCAACUGCUCCUUGAAACGCUCAGCAAAUGCAUCCAGGGCCUUGGCCGUGAUGUCUUCUCCGUCCUUGACGAUCCCCAGACUGCGAGCAACCAGUAUCUCAGCCGCCUUAGCCGCCGGCGCCAGCACCACCCUUGUUCUUCUAGCAGCUUUGAGCCUCGCACUGGUCCUGUGCAGCGAGAGGCCCGCACUUGUCCGGGCAAUGCUCACUCCAGCAAGAGUCUUACGGCGCGCAGCAGGAGGCCUGGGAGGCGUUGAUGCAGGGGAGGGCAGCAAGGGCUCUUGCCGAUCUUCAAAGAGCACGGACAGGCCAACCCCAGCUGGCUGCAGAUCAGCAGCAACCCUGCGAAGCCGCACCGGGGAUGGCGUGCGCUGA
rnacentral:rRNA from 1 species